rnacentral:rRNA from 1 species
CCUCGUGGUGGGGGAUAGCCGGCCCAACGGCCGGGUAAUACCGCAUAUGGUAGUUUCUUCGCAUGGGGAGACUAGCAAAGCCUUGCAGCAAUGCAAUGGCGCCACAGGGGGGCUCGCGGCCUAUCAGCUAGUUGGGGGGGUAAUGGCCCACCAAGGCGACGACGGGUAGCUGGUCUGAGAGGAUGGCCAGCCACAUUGGGACUGAGAGACGGCCCAG